GACGAACGCUGGCGGCGUGCCUAAUACAUGCAAGUCGAACGCAGUUGCGAACGGGUGAGUAACGCGUAGGAACCUGCCUCAUAGCGGGGGAUAACUAUUGGAAACGAUAGCUAAUACCGCAUAUUGUGAGAUGGACCUGCGUUGUAUUAGCUAGUUGGUGAGGUAAAGGCUCACCAAGGCGACGAUACAUAGCCGACCUGAGAGGUGUGUCGGCCACACUGUGACUGAGAAACGGCCCAGACUCCUACGGGAGGGAGCAGUAGGGAAUCUUCGGCAAUGGACGGAAGUCUGACCGGGCAACGCCGCGGUAGGGAAGAAGGUUUUCGGAUUGUAAAGCUCUGGUGUUAGGGAAACGGUAACUAACCAGAAAGGGACGGCUAACUACGUGCCAGCAGCCGCGGUAAUUC
rnacentral:rRNA from 1 species